rnacentral:pre_miRNA from 13 species
UAAUCUGUUUGGGGCAGAUCCUCAUUUAGUUAUGGCAGAACCACAUUUGACUACUCAGAAUCACUUGUUAUCACAAACUUGACUACAUCAUUGACAUUAAAAAACAUAGGACAACUAUUGUGUGAAUAUUGUUGAGCCGGCCA